rnacentral:rRNA from 1 species
CCUACGGGGGGCUGCAGUGGGGAAUAUUGGACAAUGGGGGGAACCCUGAUCCAGCCAUGCCGCGUGUGUGAAGAAGGCCCUCGGGUUGUAAAGCACUUUCAGUGAGGAAGAACGCCUGGUGGUUAAUACCCAUCAGGAAAGACAUCACUCACAGAAGAAGCACCGGCUAACUCCGUGCCAGCAGCCGCGGUAAUACGGAGGGUGCGAGCGUUAAUCGGAAUUACUGGGCGUAAAGCGCGCGUAGGUGGCUUGAUAAGCCGGUUGUGAAAGCCCCGGGCUCAACCUGGGAACGGCAUCCGGAACUGUCAAGCUAGAGUGCAGGAGAGGAAGGUAGAAUUCCCGGUGUAGCGGUGAAAUGCGUAGAGAUCGGGAGGAAUACCAGUGGCGAAGGCGGCCUUCCGGACUGACACUGACACUGAGGUGCGAAAGCGUGGGUAGCAAACAGGAUUAGAUACCCUGGUAGUC